UACGGAGGGUGCGAGCGUUAAUCGGAUUUACUGGGCGUAAAGCGUGCGCAGGCGGCCCGUUAAGACAGGUGUGAAAUCCCUGGGCUCAACCUAGGAAUUGCGCUUGUGACUGGCGGGCUCGAGUACGGUAGAGGGGGGUGGAAUUCCUGGUGUAGCAGUGAAAUGCGUAGAGAUCAGGAGGAACACCGAUGGCGAAGGCAGCCCCCUGGGCCUGUACUGACGCUCAUGCACGAAAGCGUGGGGAGCAAACAGG
rnacentral:rRNA from 1 species